GCCUACGGGAGGCAGCAGUAAGGAAUAUUGGUCAAUGGGCGCAAGCCUGAACCAGCCAUGCCGCGUGCAGGAAGACGGCCCUCCGGGUUGUAAACUGCUUUUGUACGGGAAUAAACCUCUCUACGUGUAGGGAGCUGAAUGUACCGUAAGAAUAAGGAUCGGCUAACUCCGUGCCAGCAGCCGCGGUAAUACGGAGGAUCCAAGCGUUAUCCGGAUUUAUUGGGUUUAAAGGGUGCGUAGGCGGCCUGUUAAGGCAGGGGUGAAAGACGGUGGCUCAACCAUCGCAGUGCCCUUGAUACUGAUGGGCUUGAAUAGACUAGAGGUAGGCGGAAUGUGACAAGUAGCGGUGAAAUGCAUAGAUAUGUCACAGAACACCGAUUGCGAAGGCAGCUUACUAUGGUCUGAUUGACGCUGAGGCACGAAAGCGUGGGGAUCGAACAGGAUUAGAUACCCGGGUAGUCCU
rnacentral:rRNA from 1 species